UAAAAUUGUUUGGUAGAUAUCUAAUUAAAUAAUCGGAAUCUUACAGUUCACAAGGACAAAAAUGUACUGAAAAAUUAAAAUUUUCGAAAAUCCUGGGGAGGCCAUGGCUCUAGUGCUCACCACCCUUGGAGCCGUGCCUGAGCAGACACCGGUACCGAGCGCAUGUAAUGGGUACGUACGCGCGCGGGAUGCGUGGUAUCCGUGGACACAUCGGUAUCACACAGAACCUAGACGGUGCACGGACGGCAGGUCGGAUGAGAAGCAUAUUUCAACAGAAGGGUUUGUCUUCUGCGUCCGCCGCGCACGUAUACUAUGAUUGAUAUUCACCACAGCCUUUUAAUCCGUCUCGAGGGGAGGAGACGGUCGCCCGCUCGAGGAAUGUCUUGGCGGUGAUGCCGACCGCACCACGUGCACGCAUCGUACAUGUGUUGAAUAGCGCGAGCGAGCACGUUUACGUGCGCGGGAGAUGUUGAGCUGCGGCGAAAUUCACCUAAAAAUCGAUGAUUCCUACGUAAUAUGAGUUUCAUAGUUCAAACAUGUACACGUGCAAACAUGUCCGGUGAUAUCGGUUGAAGACCACGGAGCAACUCCAUUUUUUGGCAAAAUCGUAUUUUCAGCUUUUAUUAUUACAACAAAUAUUUUACGUCGAUUGGUGCAACAGUCGGACAAAUCCGAUCAUUCCGAUCAAAUACAAAGAUAUUGUACGAAUAAAGAUGUCGGAUUUUUAUUACGGUGCAACAACAAGACGUCUCUGCCAUUAAUUAAUUUUUU